rnacentral:rRNA from 1 species
AUGGCCACUGUCAUGGAUGCACUAAAAUCUUUUACCAAGAUUGAGGUGUUUGAAAAUUACGGUUGUGAUGGGUGCAAAUCUCGUGUGAACAUGGAAAAGCAAUUAAAGGUGGAGCAGGCCCCAGAAGUUCUUGUAAUCCAGCUCAAGCGGUUUCAAAAUUUUGGAAGUCAUAUAACUAAGAUUGAAGACUGCAUGAUGUAUCAUGAAGAGCUGGACUUAAACCCAUUUAUGAGCUCCCCGGAUAAUAAACCUCAGAAAUAUGAUUUGUAUGGAGUUGUAGAACACGAGGGUGCUCCAUCAAAUGGUCACUAUGUUUGUUAUAUCCGUUCCUCACGAACUAAUUGGUUUCACUUCAAUGAUUCUAAGGUUAUGAAAAUCAACGAUGUCAUGGCUUUGGAGAGUGAAGCAUACCUUCUAUUCUAUGCGAAGCAAGGUUCAUCCCCAUGGUUCUCUACCUUACUUAAGAGAAAAAACUACGUUUCCGGUGACACUGAGGAGGGUGGUUACAGUAGCAGUAGCAGUGAAGAUGACUAUUAUCCUGAAGGCCUGUCUUGGCAUAAUGAUGGCGACAAAACCAGAUCGGCGACGAAAGAAGAAACAGAUCUGCAGCUUAGACAAAUAAUAUCUAUGCAAAAAGAGAAGUGCGGCGAGAGAGAGAUUGAAGAAAAAGCGAAGGCAGAAGGAGACAGCAGCAUCCAAACUACUUGUCCUGAAAGCUUGUCUUGGCGUAAGGGAGCUGAUGUCAAGGGCUCUGAUGAUUCUCCAGCUGGACCAUUGCUCGGACCAGUAGGCUCCAACUCUCACAGCAUUGCUAAGGGCAAGUGCAUUGAUAAGGCUAUUGUUCAAGAGGAAGCGACGGCGACGCCAGACGAGCUUUUGCAGCAUUUGAAAGAGAAGGUGCCUAGCAUAUUUGCCAAAGCUUUCGAACACAUGCAUAUGUCUCUUGCACUUUCAGAGGCUUCAAAGAGAGAGCAUGUUGCGGAAAUGCAUAACGAUGAUGACGACAAAACCCGAUCAGCAAGGAAGCGCAAGUGGGAGUGGGACAACAACCUCGAAGAAGAAGAAGAAGAAGAAGAAGAAGAUGAUGAUGAUGAUGAUGUUGAAGAAGAACCAUACUACUAUGUCUACUCGGACUAA